GGGGGUACUGCACAGCAGCAGAGUGCAUGCUUGGCAUGCACAAGGUCCUGGGUUCAAUCCCCAGUGCCUCUA
rnacentral:tRNA from 1 species